rnacentral:tmRNA from 1 species
GGGGGUGACGGGCUUCGACGGGUUACCAAUUAACAAAUCGGCAAGCCGAGCCGCAAAACUCGUAAAUCUUUGCAAAACUAAUAAGUGCAAACUUAUUUAAUCGUCAGCCAGCUCUUGCUUUAGCAUAGUUGGCCAUCGUUCAGCUAACGCCUGAUAAGCUGCUAAACGGUGUCAAUCAUCAGGCUUUGCCGUAGUAAGUCUAGGUAUUACAGCGAAACAAACUAGAACAGGAGUUUAAGCGUUUGGUCGGAUUUUCAGCUUAAAUUCCCAAAUUCAAUUCGAAUAAGCUUGUAGAAAAUUUGUUGGUUAUAAUUCGGACGGGAGUUCAACUCUCCCCACCUCCACAC